GGGCGGGGCGGCGGGGGGGUGUGUCGCCCCGCAGGCAGCCGAGCGCGCAGGCGCGGCGGGGCUGAGGGGAGCUGGGGGGUGAGCGGCGGGGGCGUCGUGGCGAGGCGCGAGCGCCCCGGGGACAGCCGUGAGCCGCCGCCAUGUUGCCGCCUCUCUGCCCGUCUUCCAGCCGAGCAUGUCUGUUUUUUCGUGCUUUAAAGUUGAUAAAGAGAGACUGCCUUCCAUCACUACAUAUGGCAGGAUAUGCAUCUACUACCUCUGUGCCUCGCAUAACUACACAUUAUACUAUUCAUCCUCGGGAAAAAGACAAACGAUGGGAAGGAGUAAACAUGGAAAGAUUUGCAGAGGAAGCUGAUGUUGUCAUAGUCGGAGGAGGCCCUGCGGGUCUUUCUGCAGCUAUUCGACUCAAGCAGUUAGCCACUGAGCAUGGGAAAGAAAUACGUGUUUGUCUGGUGGAAAAAGCUGGUCAGAUUGGUGCACAUACACUUUCUGGUGCUUGUCUUGAGCCACGGUCCUUAGAAGAACUUUUUCCGGACUGGAAGGAGCGGGGGGCUCCACUUCAUACUCCUGUAACUGAAGACAAGUUUGGAAUUUUAACAAAGAAAUUUAGAAUUCCAGUGCCAAUCCUCCCAGGACUUCCGAUGGUUAAUCAUGGAAAUUACAUAGUACGGCUGGGACACUUAGUGAGUUGGUUGGGCGAACAAGCAGAAGCUUUGGGUGUUGAGGUGUAUCCAGGCUACGCAGCAGCUGAGGUUCUUUUUCAUGAAGAUGGUAGCGUGAAAGGGAUUGCAACUAAUGAUGUAGGCAUCCAAAAGGAUGGAGCACCUAAAGCUACCUUUGAAAGAGGCUUGGAACUCCAUGCUAAAGUCACAGUCUUUGCGGAAGGUUGCCAUGGACAUCUAGCCAAACAGCUGUACAAGAAAUACAAUCUAAGGGAGAAAUGUCAACCCCAGAGCUAUGGCAUUGGAUUGAAAGAGUUAUGGACUAUUGAUGAAAAGAAAUGGAAACCAGGAAGAGUAGAACAUACUGUCGGCUGGCCUUUGGACAGACAUACUUAUGGAGGGUCCUUUCUUUAUCACUUAAAUGAGGGUGAACCUUUAGUUGCUCUUGGGUUUGUGGUUGGCUUAGAUUAUCAAAAUCCCUAUUUGAAUCCAUUUAGAGAGUUUCAGAGGUGGAAGCACCAUCCCAGUGUACAGCCUACUUUGGAGGGUGGAAAAAGGAUUGCCUAUGGUGCCAGAGCUUUGAAUGAAGGUGGUUUACAGUCUAUACCCAAACUCACUUUCCCAGGUGGAUUAUUAAUUGGUUGCAGUCCUGGACUCAUGAACGUUCCUAAGAUCAAAGGGACACAUACCGCAAUGAAGAGUGGCAUUCUGGCUUCAGAAGCCAUCUUCAGCCAAUUAAUCAAUGAAAAUCUCCAAUCAAAGACAAUGGGACUUGAUGUGCAAGAAUACGAAGAGAACUUGAAAAAGUCCUGGGUUUGGAAAGAGCUGUAUUCUGUUAGAAACAUCCGACCAUCCUGCCACAGCAUACUCGGUUUGUACGGAGGAAUGAUUUACACAGGUAUAUUUUAUUGGAUACUGAGAGGAAUGGAACCAUGGACGUUAAAACAUCCAGGACCAGAUUUUGCUCAGCUCAAGCCAGCCAAAGACUGCACACCUAUUGAAUAUCCAAAGCCUGAUGGAAAAAUCAGUUUUGAUCUCCUAUCAUCUGUGGCUUUAAGUGGUACAAAUCAUGAACAUGACCAGCCUGCUCAUUUAACCCUAAAAGAUGACAGCAUCCCUGUGAACAAGAAUUUGGCUAUAUUUGAUGGACCAGAACAAAGAUUUUGUCCAGCAGGAGUUUAUGAAUAUAUUCCUCUGGAAACAGGAGAAGGAUCAAGACUGCAGAUAAAUGCUCAGAACUGUGUCCACUGCAAAACAUGUGAUAUUAAAGACCCAAGUCAGAACAUUAACUGGGUAGUCCCUGAAGGUGGAGGAGGACCAGCUUAUAACGGAAUGUAAAUUAGCUGAAAACUAUUCAGUGACUUCUGACCUCCAGAAAAUAAGUUGUCUAUAAACUCCACACUGGUCAGCUGCUGAAUUUAGAGAUCAUCCGAGAGAUAAGUGAUGUUCCUCACUGUAUCAUUCAAGACCACUCGCUUCAUUAAGAAACAAAGCAACACAUCACUUAAACCAACUUAAUGUUACACUGUCAAGAAUGGGCACAAAAUACCAAAAAUUGGUUAAACAGCCCAACAUGAGAAGACACUGACCAUCUCGUUUCCAAUAUUUUUUUCUUCUUUGAAAUAAGAAUUAUCUUCCUCCAUCAUACAGAUUAUUUCAUAUUUUGCUUGUUUUGCAACAAUGUAUGUUUCAUGUGUUAAACUAGCAUGACACAUUAAGGUACUAUUUUCCCGAACUUAAUCUAGUUAUUAAGUGAAAGGAACUCCAUUUGACAAAGGUCAAUAUGUUAUAUGAAGAUGCUGGUACAUGUCUGAAGCAUGCAAGUUGUAGUAUUCCUAAGAAACCUGAUACUGUAGGGAGGAGGGGAGAGCAAAAGAACUAAGCAUGACAGUAAAGAGGAGACAGAUGCUGAAAUUGCUAUGAGGAACUCAGAGCUCUACAGAAGGUUGAUUAGUGUGAGACAGCAGUCUUAGAUAGCUGUAUUUAAGCAGACGGUUUGUCACUACAGUCUUUACCACUUUGAAGAACGUGCUGUAUUGAAAACUGUUUUCCCACUCCAUGCUUGGAUUUCCGUGGACUUAGAGAGAACUCGCUGCUCAUGGUGUUCAUCUGGUCAUAGGGUACAAGGAUCUUUCAACGACGUUACAAGAUUAGGCCCAGAAACUCUAGGAAAAGGAUGUAUGGCUGAAAGCCAGAAUUGCACCUAGCCAAACAAAAGCUACCAGAAUAAUCUUGACUUGGUAUCUUCUAAUCUUGAAACUCAUCCUGGGAAUCAGAAUUGGCUAACAGAGAGCAAGCCCGUGUUCCACAGCAAGAGAAGGCAACUUGAUAACAAGCUUGCAGGAAGGCAGCCUCCAAAACAAACAUCUGACAUUCUGCAUCGUAGUUGCUGGCAAACAAGUUAAUCAAAAGGGGUUCUUUCUUAGGAGAUUUUUGCAAGUAACAUUUGAGGCUGGUCAAUGAAUGACUGCCGAGAAGCAAAAUGAGACUGUUAAAUCUUACCUUUUAUUUUCUUUUUUUGGGGAAUUACAAGCGAUUCCGGAUGGCAUUGGUUUGUAAACAAAGGGGCAAGGAACAAUAAGCACUGGUUUUCCUCAUCCAGUGCAUGUUUACCUUUUGUCCAUAAAGAUUUGGAGGACAGGUUGGAAAGUUACAGAAAGCAGUCUGAUGGCUCUGAUCUUCAGGACAUUUACACGCAACCCCAUUUCGUUUGGGACCAAGUCUCGACAUCAGCCUCGUGAAGAGAGUUCCUAUUCAUAAACAAAACUGUUGAUCACUCGUGCAUUUUCUUGCCUUGAAAGUGUUCUGAAAAACACUGUCGAUAAGAGUGUCUUUCCUGCGCUACUUUCUGCAUGCCGUUUGGUCAGCUUAUAAAGCAAGUCAGAAUCUGGACAAAGCCUCUGACAGAUUCAAGGCCUACAAAGCCGUGGCAUGGUAACCACAUUGCUUGAGGGCUGUGCAAAUUGGGUGUUCCACUGUGGCACAGCCAUUAGCUGCAGAAGCGACACAAAAAAGGUCUGCUGGGAGUGAUCUAACGUGAUAAGCUGACUACUGAAAAAGUCUUUCAGUGUGCUGCAAUUUGCAGGAAUCCAUAUAAGCAAAACAAGAACAUUUCUUCCUCAAAAGCAUGAAAAAGAAGUGAGUCUUACGUCAAAAGUAAGAAAGAGAAAUCUGAAGAAAGGUAAUGGGCAUUUUGAAGUUUAUGCCAUUGCACAAGAAGCAGGAAGAGACAAGGACAGAUCCUGAGGAAACUGCUGUUCAGAGUUGUAUUUGUUAAUUUGUAUGUGUAAAGCACAUGCACUGACAGUCUGCCCUACCAUCAAAGCCAACAUCUCUUAAAACUGCACCUUCAAAUCCAGAACUUUACAUAUUCAAAAACCUGUUCUGUUCACAGCAAGUUUUUCAAAAAUUUUGGGUGCAAAAACAUUUAUAAACAGCCUUUUACUUCUCAUUCUGUUGUACUGGAGAAAAUGUUCUCUUCAAUUUUUCUUUGGAUUAAUUCUGCAAUCUACCACAGAUUCCCCACUUCUUAAACAGAACAGAUAUUUCUCACAUCUAAUCAUAUAACAAUUAUAAAUAUUAACAGUAUAUGAAAACAAGUAGAAAAUCUAUUUAAUGCUAAUACACUGUAUAUGCUUCAGAGUGACAUUUAAUGCUAAUACACUGUAUAUGCUUCAGAGUGACAUUUGCCAUUUGUCAAAAUAAUUUCCUUACCUCAGUCAGAAUUGAAAUAUUGUUUCAAGCCAAUUUCUAAUGGUGCAAUUAAAAAGAAUGUUUAAAUUA